CUGCACUCCAGCCUCGGCGACAGAGUGAGACUCCGUCUCAAAAAACCAAAAAACAAAAAACAGUCAAUGGCAUUAAAUAUAAAUACAUUUACAGUGUUGUGUAACCAUCACCACUAUGGAUCCCCCAGACUUUGUCAUCAUCUUCAACCUAAGCGCUCCCUAUUAAAUAGUAACUCCCCACUUUUCCCAGGCCUUGGCAACCACCAUUCUAAUCCCUGUCUCUAUGAAUUUGACUCCUCUCGAUACCUCAGAUAAGCGGCACAAUGCAGUAUUUAUCUGUCAAGUCCGGAAUAUUUCCUUUAGCAUAAUGUCUUCAAGGUCCAUCACGUUGUAGCAUGUAUCUGAAUUUAUUCUUUUAUAAUAUUUUUUAUUUUUUGGAGACAGAAUCUCGCUCUGUCACCCAGGCUGGAGUGCAAUGGCGCGAUCUCGGCUCACCGCAACUUCCGCGUCCCGGGUUCAAGCCAUUCUCCUGUCUCAGCCUCCGGAGUAGCUGGGACUACAGGUGCCUGCCGCCAUGCCCGGCUAUUUUUUUUUUGUAUUUUUUGGGGGUUUUACUGUGUUGCCCAGGCUGGUCUUGAACUGCUGAGCUCAGGCAAUCUGCCUGCCUCAGCCUCCUAAAGUACUAGGAUUACAGGCAUGGGCCACCACGCCCGGCCUUAUUUUUAUUUUUGAGACAGUCUCACUCUGCCGCCCAGGCUGGAGUGCAGUGGUGCGAUCUCGGCUUACCGCAAUCUCUGCCUCCCAGGUUCAAGCGAUUCUCAUGCCUCCGUCUCCCAAGUAGCUGGGAUUACAGGCACCUGCCACCAUGCCCGGCUAAUUUAACGCCCAGCUAAUUUUUGUAUUUUUAGUAGAGAUGGGGUUUCACCAUGUUAACCAGGCUGGUCUCGGACUCCUGACCUCAGGUGAUCCGCCCGCCUCGGCCUCCCAAAGUGCUGGGAUUACAGGCGUGAGCCACUGUGCCUGGCUGAUUUUUAUUCUUUUAGUUAAGGCUGGUUGAUAUUACCUUGUGUGUAUAUACCACAUGUUGUUUAUCCAUUGUUGUUGAUGGACAUGUGGGUGGUUUCACCUUUUGGCUAUUGUGAAUAAAGCUGCUAUGAACACUGUGUACAAAUAU
rnacentral:lncRNA from 10 species